rnacentral:lncRNA from 1 species
AGAAUGCCGGGAGCUUGGGACUUUGUCUGCAUGACUGAUAGUCACAGGAUUAUGAAGUUGGGGGCUCCAUGGUGUCAGGCAUCUAUGUCUGGGAAUGUGGCUCACUGUUCUGUCCCUUGUAGAGUUUUCUACUGGGUCUCCAGCGUAAGCUUUGCUCAACUAGAACACAGGCUGCCUUUCACAGUCCCACACGCUACCUUGUGUGGAGCUCCACAGAAAACAGAAGAAAAGUAACAGUAUCCUGCAUGGUAAGCAAAGAACAGCAUGAAUGCGAGUGCUAAUCAUAAACUUUAUUUUUUGGAGGCUGUUGUUGCAGGCGGUGCAUUUGAGGGGAUAAGGCUAGGUUGAAGAGGUGUUGACCGGACGCUGACUUCACCUUGGAGUGACAGCGCAAUGGCAAUGGGACAGGGGAAUUCUAAACAGGCAUUUGUUCUCAGCCUAAAAGAGCUGCUUCAGGCAAGAGGAGCAGGGUUUAAAAAACAGAUGUUAGAAAACUUCUUAGCUCAAGUAGAUUUGUGGUGUCCAUAGUUUCCAGAAGUAGGGAUGGUAAAAGCUCUUUCAGAGCUCUCCUAGGGACAGGAGGAAGGAGGGAGAGAUGUCCUGCUUCUUCUCUGGCUCCUACUGGAGAUAUCCUUAGUUCUGGCUCUGGAUCUCUUAAGUAGGGUAUUUGGGUCCCUUUGGGACAUCAAGUUCUCUUCCCUCUCUGUCUAUUGUCUGUCCUUGGUGCGCUAAUCUGUCCAUGUCUGUCCAUUUAUGCCUGGUUUUGUCUUUUGUUUGAAUGGUUGGUGUUCUGUGCUUCAUGUUCAAAAGAAAAAAUGGAUAAACUUAUCUGCUGGCUGUCCCUCGUACCCCCCCCCCCUCCUUGCUUUAGUUUAACUUGUUUAAAAGGCACUCAAUUUGCACUGCAGAAACUGAGAAGUUACCCUGCAAAAAAACUCUGUAAUUGGGUUCAAAAAGUAGCAAGGCACUCCUCUCUUGAAAUUACAGCUAGAAAAAGUAAGAAAAUUUUGUUUAGUCUAAAUAUAUAAGAUGUGUGUGGCCACUUCAUUUUUGUUUCUGACUGGUUUUAAAAGUAUAAAUAUGUUAUACAUGUCUUGGUUAUAGAGUAUUGGCUUAUAAGUUAUUUGGUAUGAUUAAAAUUUUGUAACUUUGGUAAUAGAAAGUUGGCUUAAAACUGGUAACUCAGGGUUGGAGUCAUUCUAAAUAACACGUGGCAUGAGCCAACCCAGGAAAAUAUGUCUCUAAAGAUACUUCUAAAUUGGGAUAAUAUUUUAUGUAUUUCUUAUCCUAGAAACUAGACUUAUGAAGGAUAGGAUUUAAAACAAUGUCUCUUUAAUGAGGUAUUAAAAGCUGCACUGUCAUGCACUCAUAUAUAAAAACUGGCAGCCAAAGUUUGUAUCGUGAAAGUAAUGCUCUUGGUAUUGAUUUUAGAGAGAAAAGAUUGUUUAAAACUGGGCUUUGUUUUCCAAAAUUAUGGGUAUGCUCUAUGUUGAAAAAGAAACUUAAAAAUAUAGUUAAACUGCCAAUGUUCCAUUAGUUGCAGUUUACAAUUCAAUUACAAGCUCAUGAUUUUUAACUCACCCAUACUUGUAAUUAAGAAAAAAUUAAGCAAGUGAAGAUGAUUGCAAGAGUAAUAAAAGAGUUUAAAACAGCUAUAGCAUAGUACCGACCUGCUACCCCUUUUAUACAAGCUUUAUUGGAUACAGUGGUAGAAGCAAAUUUAACCCCCCAAGAUUGGAAAGGAGCUCUCAGUGGGAGUUUAUCUGGGAUCGAACAAGGUCCCGAUGAACCAGGUCCCGAUGAACCGCCUCAGGAAUUUGUGGAUAGACUGCUAAAAGCAGCUGGUAGAAUUUUUGGAGAUCCUCAGGCUGGAGUUCCUUUUGUUACAUAAUUGGCUUAUGAGAGUGCUAAUGCAGCCUGUGUGCCCCCAUCUGUCCGAACAAAGCCAAGACAGAACCUGAUAAACAAAGCUGUCCCUUGUCAGGAAACUGGAGGAAGGGUCAGCCUCAGACCUCAAGGCACUCACAACAGGCAGUUUCCUAGCCAAGAAAAUCAGAGCAACCCCAGUAAGCACAGGAUUGGACCUCAGUCCCACCACCUACACAGUCCUGACCCCAGAAAUGGGAGUUCAAACCCUGCCUAUAGGAGUUUUUGGUUCCUUGCCUCCAGGGGCCUUGGGGUUAUUUUUAGGCCAAAACAUCACUAUUAUAAAAGGACUACAUAUCUAUCCUGGAGUUAUAGAUAAUGAUUAUGCAGGAGAAAUUAGAAUUAUGGCUGCUUCUCCCCAUGGCAUUAUAACUGUACCUACUAACAGAAGAAUUGCUCAACUUGUUUUAGUUCCCUUGCAUCUGCUACCUUCCAAAUGUGUUAAGAGUAGGAGAGGACUUUAAUCCCAGCACUUGGGAGGCAGGCGGAUUUCUGAGUUCGAGGCCAGCCUGGUCUACAGAGUGAGUUCCAGGACAGCCCUGUCUCGAGAAACC